rnacentral:misc_RNA from 1 species
GAUGAAGAACGUAGCGAAAUGCGAUAAGUAAUGUGAAUUGCAGAAUUCAGUGAAUCAUCGAAUCUUUGAACGCAUCUUGCGCUCCUUGGUAUUCUGAGGAGCAUGCCUGUUUGAGUGUCAUUAAAUUCUCAACUACACUGACUUUGAAUUGGUGUGGCUUGGAUUUGGGGGGAAAAUUGUUGUGGGCUUUUUGUAUAGUCUGCUCCCCUGAAAUUGAUUAGCGGUACCUUUGUGGAACUGUCUACAGGUGUGAUAAUUAUCUACAUCUUAGACAUCUGCUGGAAUGCUGCUUUCAAAACCUUACUUGUAUUGACAAGCUUGACCUCAAAUCAGGUAGGACUACCCGCUGAACUUAAGCAUAUCAAUAAGCGGAGGA